GACGAACGCUGGCGGCGUGCUUAACACAUGCAAGUCGAACGGAAAGGCCCUGCUUUUGUGGGGUGCUCGAGUGGCGAACGGGUGAGUAACACGUGAGUAACCUGCCCUUGACUUUGGGAUAACUUCAGGAAACUGGGGCUAAUACCGGAUAGGAGCUCCUGCUGCAUGGUGGGGGUUGGAAAGUUUCGGCGGUUGGGGAUGGACUCGCGGCUUAUCAGCUUGUUGGUGUGGUAGUGGCUUACCAAGGCUUUGACGGGUAGCCGGCCUGAGAGGGUGACCGGCCACAUUGGGACUGAGAUAGGGCCCAGACUCCUACGGGAGGCAGCAGUGGGGAAUAUUGCACAAUGGGCGGAAGCCUGAUGCAGCAACGCCGCGUGCGGGAUGACGGCCUUCGGGUUGUAAACAGAUUUCGCAUGUGACGAAGCGUGAGUGACGGUAAUGGGUAAAGAAGCACCGGCUAACUACGUG
rnacentral:rRNA from 1 species